rnacentral:rRNA from 1 species
CUACGUAGGGGGCGAGCGUUAUCCGGAAUUAUUGGGCGUAAAGAGUACGUAGGUGGUUUUGUAAGCGCAAGGUGAAAGACCGCAGCUUAACUGCGGUGAGCCUUGUGAACUGCAAGACUUGAGUGCAGGAGGGGAAAGUGGAAUUCCUAGUGUAGCGGUGAAAUGCGUAGAUAUUAGGAGGAACACCAGUGGCGAAGGCGGCUUACUGGACUGUAACUGACGCUGAGUCACGAAAGCGUGGGUAGCAAACAGGAUUAGAUACCCUGGUAGUCCACGCUGUAAACGAUGAGUGCUAGGUGUUGGGUAGCGAUACUCAGUGCCGUAGUAAACACAAUAAGCACUCCGCCUGGGGAGUACGUACGCAAGUAUGAAACUCAAAUGAAUUGGCGGGG